rnacentral:rRNA from 1 species
CUGGCUCAGGACGAACGCUGGCGGCGUGCUUAACACAUGCAAGUCGAACGGAACACCCUUGACAGAGGUUCGGCCAAUGAAGAGGAAUGUUUAGUGGCGGACUGGUGAGUAACGCGUGAGGAACCUGCCUUUCAGAGGGGGACAACAGUUGGAAACGACUGCUAAUACCGCAUGAAGCAGCGAGGGGACAUCCCCUUGCUGUCAAAGAUUUAUCGCUGAAAGAUGGCCUCGCGUCUGAUUAGCUAGUUGGUGGGGUAACGGCCCACCAAGGCGACGAUCAGUAGCCGGACUGAGAGGUUGACCGGCCACAUUGGGACUGAGAUACGGCCCAGACUCCUACGGGAGGCAGCAGUGGGGAAUAUUGGGCAAUGGACGCAAGUCUGACCCAGCAACGCCACGUGAAGGAAGAAGGCUUUCGGGUUGUAAACUUCUUUUAACAGGGAAGAGAAGAAGACGGUACCUGUUGAAUAAGCCACGGCUAACUACGUGCCAGCCGCCGC